rnacentral:rRNA from 1 species
AUUGAACGCUGGCGGCAGGCCUAACACAUGCAAGUCGAGCGGAUGAAGGGAGCUUGCUCCUGGAUUCAGCGGCGGACGGGUGAGUAAUGCCUAGGAAUCUGCCUGGUAGUGGGGGAUAACGUCCGGAAACGGGCGCUAAUACCGCAUACGACAUGAGGGAGAAAGUGGGGGAUCUUCGGACCUCACGCUAUCAGAUGAGCCUAGGUCGGAUUAGCUAGUUGGUGGGGUAAAGGCCUACCAAGGCGACGAUCCGUAACUGGUCUGAGAGGAUGAUCAGUCACACUGGAACUGAACCACGGUCCCAACUCCUACGGGAGGCAGCAGUGGGGAAUAUUGGACAAUGGGCGAAAGCCUGAUCCAGCCAUGCCGCGUGUGUGAAGAAGGUCUUCGGAUUGUAAAGCACUUUAAGUUGGGAGGAAGGGCAGUAAGUUAAUACCUUGCUGUUUUGACGUUACCAACAGAAUAAGCACCGGCUAACUUCGUG